UCCCCUGCCUGUAUUUCAACCCCGGUUCUCCACACCAUCCUCGCUUGAUUGUUGUUGCCCCUUACCUGGUUCACUCAUCCUCGUCCUCUGUUCAGUUGGCUGGGCUCCUCCUCCUGUCCUCUCCUCCCCAGACUUCCCCCCCCCCCCACAGCGUCCUUCCAGUUCCCCCUCGGCUCCCAGUGUUCCCUGGCUCUCUGGUCCCAGUCUCCUCGGUUUCCCCGUGCCAGGGUUUCCCCGGCAUCCACCUCUCCCUCCACUCCAGUCCCUCAAACCCUUUUCCCUCAAUAAACCUCCUUCGCUCUGAGCGCUGCAUUUCAGUCCUCUCUGUCACCACACCACCCGUAACAACGAACUGCUUGUGCAAAGUGCCAGUGCGCAGUGCAAGUCAUGUUACACCAAAGAUUAACAUGUAGAAGUGCUUGUACGGCAUACCGGUGGAUACUGGCCAACUUCAAGCGCUGUUUUUGGAUCCAAAUAUGCAAACUCUUAAACUAAAAGGCACAAUUGUUAGGGAAAAAAACUCAGAUCUUCUACUUAAAAAAUUUGUUAUAAGAGUUUGUGGUUGUAAUUUAGUUGAACAAAACAUUAAGCUUACAGAUAAUCAACCAUAAAAUUCCUCUUCAACAAAUCUCAUAGACAGCAGUUUGUGGCUUGCUGAGCCAACCCGACAGCAGCCCAUCUCCGCAACAACCCUGUCACAGAUCCACCAGGGAAAGGAAGAGCAUGUCACAACAGAUCAGCCAUUUGUUAAAGUCAGAGUCACACGCUAAUGGCAACAAUGUGUUUUCUCUCUCAGCAGGCGCCUCAGCAGCCAAUAGCCAUGUUUGCUCCUGGCUAGCUCCGCUCAUACCCUGCAAUUUUCCAAGGAUAACUGGGGAGGUUAUUUCCACGCAGAGGUCAAACACAAACAAAGGGACAUCAUUUGAAAGCUGUGAGCAGGUUCAGGAGGAGUUCAAGGGAAGCAGGGCAUCAUUUUCUCAAUUAGCCUUGCUGUAAGUACUUUUGCCAUGAUUGAGGCUUUUAGUUUUAAGCUCAAUGUUUAUUAUCUCUAUUAUGACUAAAUCAGAGCUGGUUUGACUAGUUCCUGUUGUCUAAUUUCUUGUUCCUUUGUGCAGGACUAAACUAUGCUUCAGGUGGUAGGUGUGCUUGCAUGUGUUUACUUGUGUCAGAGUAGAUUAGGUUUUUUGCAGACAUACAGUGUGGUGUUUUUAAUUAAGUAAAGCAUAGAAAGGGUUCUUUCAUCAUAUUGUUUUUGCAAGCAUGGCUAACGGAUGGCAUUAUCAUUCUGCCAGAUUAGGCUUGGGUGGUUUCUAUUUUUUCAUACCUUCCUGACAUUUCACCGGGGUUCACUAAAACAACAUAAAAGCUGAGCUGCUGGUAAUAGAAGUUAUUGUAGCAUUUAUGCCACUGUCUAGCCUACAAGAAUGAGUCUCUAAUAUGCAGUUAGCCUACUUCUUACUGGGUUUCACUUAUGGUUCUUAGAAUAAUGAAUAGAUAGGAAAUAUUUAUCCUUCACCCAUAGAUUCGUGCUGGAAGAUUUGAUGACAGAUGUUGCUGCAAAGGACGCUGACACAUCAGUGUGCUGAACAGAGAUGAUGUGCACACAGCUUUGUCCUAGUUGGCUAGCUUACCUUUAUCAUCAGUACUACACACAGAAUCCUCCCAAACAGGGACAAAAGCUUUUUCUUUGUUACUAGUCUUGUAAUGUUAUCCCCACUCCUCGCAGUCGCCAUCGAGUGAAUCCUUUUUGAUGUGCAUACUAAGUGUGUGGUUAAGCGAAAGUGGGCGUGCGGCAGGUGAAUGCAGUGCAGAAGAUACAAAAGGUGAGCAGUGAAGUUUGGCAGUAAAUGUACAGUGUAGGUUACAGUUUAUAUCAGUAUAUUAAGGCUGCAGCUAAAGCCCCCGUGUGUGUUUUUUACCAACUGAUGGGAAAGUGAACGGGGUUAUCAUGAUGUCACGUUGAAGUAAGGCAGUUUCACGCAGAGGCACCUGCCUACGUUGAGUGUACACUACAAUACAUCAGCUCAAUACAGCAUCUUAGUAUCAGUUUAAUAGAAAGAGGAGCAUCUGUAUUUUUGAUGGUAUUGAAAGCCAAACCGCCGGGAUUUCUAAAUACCCUGGUAUACUGUAAUACAAUGACAAAGAUUUUCAUGAAAUACCUUCAGAGAUGAAUGGACUACCAGAGAACAGCCAUGGUCCCCAGAGGAUGGAUCCUAAUCAUUUUGUUUGUACCUCCUGACUUUUCCUGUAGUGCCACCAGCCAGUCAAAGUUUUCACUUACCCAUUGUCAUAGAAUUUAGUGCAGAUAGUCAUGGUUCCCAAACACUGAAUUCUGCUGACUUUUCCCCUAACUUUUCCUUUGGUACCAUCACAAGGUUGAUUUAUGGUUUUGAGUGAAAUGUCUCGGUAAGUAUUUGAUAGAUUGCCAUUAAAGUGGUACAUUCAUGUCCCCCAUAGGAUGAAUCGGAGCAACUCAGACUUUUUAUGUGGAACCAUCAUUAAGUCAAGACAUUUGACUUUCCAUCAGCCUCAGCUGUACAGGAGCUAAAAACUUGUUGGUUAUGCCACAUUCCCUUUUGCUGUCCUUGCACCUAGACUUUGGAACAUCCCCCCCACCUACUUCUCUAGGUUAGCUUUUCUAUAAUUCCAAGACUGUGCUCUGGGUGGUGUAUGCCUUCUGUGGUUGUAUGUGCAUUGCAUUUGUAUGUAUUUUUUAAUGUUUUUCUCUUGUAUGAACUUUGUGCUUGAUGUUAAAUGUGUAAACCACUUUGCAAAAUUGUGUUACAAAGGUUCUUUAUCAUAAAGAUUCAUACUUACUAA